rnacentral:rRNA from 1 species
GUAAAAUAAUAAGGGCGCAUGGAGGAUACCUUGGCAUAUAGAGCCGACGAAGGACGUGGUAAGCUGCGAAAAGUCCUGGUGAGCCGCUGCUGGCUUUGACCCAGGAAUCUCCGAAUGAGGUAAAUCACAACGAGUUAUGUCGUUGUAUCGUAUAGUGAAUUCAUAGCUAUACGAGGGCAAGCUUGGGAAUUGAAACAUCUUAGUACCAAGAGGAAAGAAAAUUAAAUAAAGACUCCGUUAGUAGAGGCGAUCGAAAGCGGAUGAGCCUAAACCGAUGUGAUGUUAGUAGCUGUCAGGCGCUGUUACAUCGGUGUUGCGAGAAGCACAGGAAUGAACUGACAAUCAUUUGCAUAGUUACCAAAUCUAUACUUAAGAGAAUCACCUGAAACGGUGGACCAUAGAGCGUUACAGUCGCGUAUUUGGCAAGUAUAGGUCUAUGAGUGCUUUCUCAAGUAAAACGGGACACGUGAAAUCCUGUUCGAAUCUGGGUGGACCAUUCAUCCAAGGCUAAGUACUUCUAUAUGACCGAUAGUGAACUAGUACCGCGAGGGAAAGGUGAAAAGAACCCCGGAAGGGGAGUGAAAUAGAACGUGAAACCAUGCGCUUACAAGCGAUCAGAGGCCGUAAGGCUGAUGGUGUGCCUAUUGAAGAAUGAUCCGGCGAGUUACAGUAUGCAGCAAGGUUAAGCUUUUAAAGCGGAGCCGUAGCGAAAGCGAGUCUGAAUAGGGCGAUUAGUUGCAUGUUGUAGACCCGAAGUCUGGUGACCUAUGCAUGGGCAGGAUGAAGCGACAGUAACAUGUCGUGGAGGUCCGAACCGGUGAAUCUUGAAAAAUUCUCGGAUGACCUGUGCAUAGCGCAGAAAUUGCAAUCGAACUAGACGAUAGCUGGUUCUCCUCGAAAUGUUUUUAGGAACAGCCUUGGAGGAAGCCCAUCAGGGGUAGAGCUCUGUUUAGGCUAGGGAACUCACCAAAGUUUACCAAACCUAUGCAAACUACGAAUACUGAUGGUUAAUUAUCCAGGAGUGAGCCCGUGGGGGAUAAGCUUCACGGACGAGAGAGGAAGAUCUCAGACCGCCAAUUAAGGUCCCGAAAUCUAUGCUCAGUGGUAAAGGUAGUUACAAGUCCCAGACAACCAGGAGGUUGGCUUAGAAGCAGCCAUCCUUUAAAGAAAGCGUAAUAGCUCACUGGUCAAGUCUUGUAGCGCCGAAGAUUCAACGGGGCUAAGCAUAGUACCGAAAUUGCGGAUGCUUGCAGUCGCUGACUGCAGGCGUGGUAGAGGAGCGUUCCGUAUUAGGAUGAAGUUCGACCGUAAGGUAGGAUGGACGAAUCGGAAGUGAGAAUGUCGGAAUGAGUAACGAAAAAACAUGUGAGAAUCAUGUUCGCCGAAAACCUAAGGUUUCCUGGGGAAGGGUCGUCCUCCCAGGGUUAGUCGGGACCUAAGCUGAGGCUGAAAAGCGUAAGCGAUGGACAACAGGUUAAUAUUCCUGUACUAGUAUGUGUCGUUAUCACGAUGGGGUGACGCAGUAAGUUAAGCGAGCCGGUUAUUGGAUUCCGGUUUAAGUACGUAGGCAGAGAGGAUAGGCAAAUCCGUUCUCUUGUUAAUGCCGAGAUACGAAUACGAGCCGCAAGGCGAAGUCGCUAACACUACACUGACGAGAAAAACCUCUAAGGAGAUACAUGCUACCCGUACUAAAACCGACACAGGUAGGUGGGGUGAGAAGCCUAAGGCGCGCGAGUGAUCUCUCGUUAAGGAACUCUGCAAAAUGACCCUGUAACUUCGGGAAAAAGGGUGCCACAGUAGGUUGUACGUGUACAACGGAAGGCCGAUGUGGUUGCAAAAACUAGGCGAUAGUGACUGUUUAUCAAAAACACAGGUCUCUGCAAAGCCGCAAGGCGAUGUAUAGGGGCUGAUGCCUGCCCAGUGCUGGAAGGUUAAGAGGAUUGGUUAGUCGCAAGACGAAGCUGAGAAUCGAAGCCCCAGUGAACGGCGGCCGUAACUAUAACGGUCCUAAGGUAGCGAAAUUCCUUGUCGGGUAAGUUCCGACCCGCACGAAUGGCAUAACAACUUUCGCACUGUCUCAACGAGGGGCUCGGUGAAAUUGGAAUAUCUGUGAAGAUACAGAUUACCUGCAGCAGGACAGAAAGACCCUAUGGAGCUUUACUGUAGCUUGGCUUUGAGUUUCGAUAAUUUGUGUGCAGGAUAGGUAGGAGACUUUGAUACGUCGGCGUCAGCUGGCGUGGAGUCAACCGUGAGAUACUACCCUCAACUUGUUGGAAUUCUAACCUGAUACCAUUAGCUGGUUCGGGAACAGAGCCUGGUGGGCAGUUUGACUGGGGCGGUCGCCUCCUAAAGAGUAACGGAGGCGCUCAAAGGUCCCCUCAAUACGGUUGGAAAUCGUAUGAAGAGUGUAAUCGCACAAGGGGGCUUGACUGUAAGGCUAACACGCCGAACAGGGACGAAAGUCGGAGAUAGUGAUCCAAUAGCAUCGCGUGGUGGAGCUAUUGCUCAACGGAUAAAAGUUACCCUAGGGAUAACAGGCUGAUACUACCCAAGAGUUCAUAUCGACGGUAGUGUUUGGCACCUCGAUGUCGGAUCGUCUCAUCCUGGGGCUGAAGCAGGUCCCAAGGGUCGGGCUGUUCGCCCGUUAAAGAGGUACGUGAUCUGGGUUCAAAACGUCGUGAGACAGUUUGGUCCAUAUCCGCUGCAGGCGUAGGAAAUUUGAGGGAGUUUGACCUUAGUACGAGAGGACCGGGUUGAACGAACCAAUGGUGUACCGGUUAUUCCGCCAGGAGUAAACGCCGGGUAGCUACGUUCGGUUUAGAUAAUCGCUGAAAGCAUCUAAGUGAGAAGCUAGUCCCAAGAUAAGAUUUCCUGUCACGCAAGUGAGUAAGGUCCCCAGUAGACUACUGGGUUGAUAGGUUCGGGGUGUAAGCACAGUAAUGUGUUCAGCUGACGAAUACUAAUAGACCGAGGUUUUCCACUG